GCAUGUGUGGACUCCGCGUUCAUCUCUUCCUGCUUCCCGCCAUGUGCUCAUGCAGCAAUAAGGCGCCAUCUUGGAAGUAGUGAAUGAGUCUUCAACACACACCAGAUCUGCCAGUGCUUGGAUCUUGGACUUUCCGGUCUUCAGAAUUCUGACACAUGGAUAUCUGUUGUUUACAAAUUAUUCAGUCUUCAGUAUUUUGUUAUAACAGCAGGAAUAGGCUAAGGCAGAAGAUAUUUUGUUGCAGAUGCCUCUUAGAAACGAAGAAGCAAUUUUCAAAUCGGAUUUUCUUAACAACAAGCAAGUCCAGGCAGAGGGCUUCCCUGUGAAAUAGAGAA
rnacentral:lncRNA from 1 species